GGACUACUGGGGUAUCUAAUCCUGUUUGCUCCCCACGCUUUCGCGCCUCAGCGUCAGUAUCGGUCCAGAGAGCCGCCUUCGCCACCGGUGUUCUUCCCAAUAUCUACGAAUUUCACCUCUACACUGGGAAUUCCACUCUCCUCUCCCGAACUCAAGCCCAUCAGUCCCAAGCGCAAUUCCCAGGUUAAGCCCGGGGCUUUCACGCCUGACUUGAUCGGCCGCCUGCGCGCCCUUUACGCCCAGUAAUUCCGAACAACGCUCGCCCCCUUCGUAUUACCGCGGCUGCUGGCAC
rnacentral:rRNA from 1 species